rnacentral:rRNA from 1 species
UACGAAGGGGGCUAGCGUUGUUCGGAUUUACUGGGCGUAAAGGGCGCGUAGGCGGCCUGCUAAGUCGAACGUGAAAUCCCUGGGCUCAACCCAGGAACUGCGUCCGAUACUGGUUGGCUUGAAUCCGGGAGAGGGAUGUGGAAUUCCAGGUGUAGCGGUGAAAUGCGUAGAUAUCUGGAGGAACACCGGUGGCGAAGGCGACAUCCUGGACCGGUAUUGACGCUGAGGCGCGAAAGCCAGGGGAGCAAACGGG